AGAAUUCUCCUCUCCCUACUUUCUCUACAAUAUUGUUCUUGUUCGUGUAUUAUUUUAUAACACGUAAUCAGCACGAAACUCUACUAUCUAAAGAAUCUCUUUGAGAAAAUUAAGGUAUUUUUUCUCCCUGCAUCAGAAAAUACCAAUCAGUCGUUUCUCUCUAAGAGAACAACACAAACGCCCGAGAGACCUAAAGCUAAGAGACAACAAAAGAGGUAGCCUUCAGAUCUUUUGCUUCUUCAGCAGAAGAAGAACGGUCUCCAUUCCAAAAAGUUUCAACCAUGCCCAUCGUCUUCUACGAGCUGCCUUUUUAAAACACCAUCCAUACUAGCUGGAAAUUUCAGCCCCAAAAAGACAACAAAACAGCCCUCAAAUCCAACCUUAGACCACCAAAUCCCAGCUAAGAACACCCUCGAACAACCCUAUUUUCGAUGUAAACGGUGACAUCAAAGUGGAGGUUGA
rnacentral:lncRNA from 1 species